ensembl:lncRNA
GGAGGAGGAGGGAGAGGAGAGCAGGGAGAAGACAGGAAUACUUACGUAUUAAUAAUUCUGUCACACAGAGAGUCAGAGAGAAUCAGAGCAGGUGCCAGAGGAGCUGACCUUGAAGGCCACGUCUCCUGAAGAGCCCAGGGCCAGCGGGCCAUUGUCAUCAGCGGCAUAUAUUUCUACUGCAAUUAUCUCGCGUCCUCUUACAACUCUCUCAGAAGUUCCUUCCGUGAUCAUUAAAACUGGCUCUGGGCUGUGGCUUUGAAAGCGGCUGGAACCGCCCAGGGCUGGAUCGUAUCCUCGUUAAGCAGGGACGGCCUUCCAGGGACUUCAACAGGAUUUCUCAGUGGUGACAAAUCGAGGGAGAUGCGACUGGGCCAUGCCAAUUACAGCUCAGCAUUGUGGAUUGUCCCAGCAGUUGGGAGAUUCAAGGAGUGGGGAGCUUCCACCUAAAACAGACAGGCACAAAAGCCCAGGGAUCCAGCAGAGCCUCAGAACCACAGAGAAGCCAGUAUGUAACCAGAUGCACGGCCAACAGAGCCCAAAGAGGAGCAUGUCAAAAGGACAGAAAGAAGAUGUCAAGGCCAAAGAAUAUAAUCAGGUUUGAGGGUUUUUGUUUUUAAUAUUUCCCCA